rnacentral:lncRNA from 9 species
AGAGAGAAAGAAGCCCACACCAAGGGUUGUCCCAGGCUCCCGGUGUGUUUGCUACUGCUUGCUGCACAGAGUUCCGACAGGGUCCUCCCUUAACAAGCAAAGAGGAAAAUCAUCUCUGUUGCGAUGCCAGUGUGACUCGGCAAAGUUGCAUCUAGCGUGCGCGUCUGUCCUGGCUGAGGGGGGCUGAGAGAGGCUUUGCUGCCCUUUUCCCCCUUGAAUACGAGUUUCUCGUGACUUUCCACCACCCUGAACUCACAAUGAUCCGUCAAGGACCUUCUCCUAUUUCCCUCCCAGCACCAUCCUAAUUUCCUCCCUUCAGUGGCUUCUCUCCUCUUCAUGAUCACUUUAUCCCUUCCUGGACCAGAGGAAAUAAUGAGAGACAGUGCCUCCUCCGCUGAAAAUCCACAGCCAGGCAUGGACCCCUCCCCACCACCUCCUACUAUGGUACUUAAAGACCUCACCAUGAAAAACUGGAUUGCAUAAAGGACUGCUCCUGGACAGAGACCCCUGGCUUGUUAUAUUUGCACAACUGGACAGUUUUCAUGGCAUAGAUUGGAUGGACUCUGUCAGUGACAGGAGGCAAUGUCCCUCCUGAAGGAGGGAAGGGAGUCUCUUCACUAGCAAAUACUCCAGCCAUUGGGGAAAAAAAAAAGAUCCUGUGAUUCCAACCAUGGAACUGCUACUCAAAACAACUACAAGAAAGAGGAAGUAGAGACCACGCGAGGUAUUUCCGUGUAAGACUGUUCCACCUUGAGAAAAGAAGCAAAAUGUGGAAAUGGGUCCUUCGCUGGAGAAUGGAUUAAAGAGUCUUUGGUCUCUUUCUGAAUUGUGCUACUUAAUUUAUCAUCACCACCAUCAUCAUCAUCUUUGUUGUCAUCAUCUCCAUCACCCGUGCUUCCUACAUGCCAGAAGUGUUGUGUUCCCUGGUUGAUCUCAUUUAAUUCUUCUGACAGCAAUAUGAGAAUCACCAUGGAAACCACAGCCACAAAUCCUGACAGCUCAAAUAUCACAAGUAGUGCUGAUAAUUGAUGGCAUGAAUAUCUGACAAGGCCUUGGCAGCUAUGCAGAGCAUUGCAGUGAGAAGCUGCUGUCUUGGGGGAGCUUUACUGCUUUUGGAGAUUUAAUACUGAUCUUGAACUUGAGGUGUGUCUGCAUGAACUUCUAUGCACCAGAAACUUUCAUUUCAAUGCUGAAAUGUGGGGUAAGAUUUUGGUGAAAUUUUAAACAAAUUUAGGGAACUACCUUAAGUAAAUUCAACCAGGUAUCACAUGCAGUCUUACUUUGGAAUUGUGAAAAAAAAAUAAUAAUAAGAGUGGAAAUAUGGAAAGAGAAUGCAAUAGCUACAACAGCAUAAACAUUGACUAUUAAGAAUCAAAAUAAUAUUCAUAAAAAAUAUUCAUUAAGUUAGGUGUCAACAUUUGUAAGAAAUGCACUGUUCCUGGCUUCGAGGUGGAAGAAGGCCGCCACAAGCUAAGGAAUGUGGGCCGCAUCUAGAAGCUGGAAAAGGCAAGAAAACAGUCUCCUCUAGAGCCUCUAGAAGGAAUACAGUCCUGGUGACACCUUGGUCUUGGCCCAGUGAGACCCAUAUCAGAUUUCUAACCUACAGAACUAUAAGAUAGUACAUUUAUGUUUUCUUAAGCCACUAGGUGUGUAAUCAUUUGUUACAACAGCCACAGGAAAGGAAUGCAUGUAUGGUUCUCUACAUUUUUGGUCUCUGCAGAGACAGGGUGGAUGGGGCCAGGAGACUAGCUCUGGCACUUAGAAUGGGGGAUGGGUGUGAUUUGCCCCCUACCUGGGCAAUGUGCCAUGACCUCUCUCUCUGGUGGUUGGACAGCUGAAUGCAGAGGGUCAGUAGAGGGUCAAGGAGGCUCUAGUGGAUGGCAGAGUCGCUGUUUGCAAGGAGCCUUGAAUCUGAAGUCACCACUUGAAAGAGUGUUGCCUCUGGGAGCUGCCCCAACCAAAUGCAUGAGUCUUAAUCCCCUGAGUUCCCAGAGUUCAUUUUUCCCUGCAGCAGAGCUGCUUCUAGUCUAACUCCAGAAUCUCCAAAUCAGAUUAUUUUUUCUUUUUAAAAAAUUUUUAAAGAGUUUUUUUUCUUUUUUUUUUUUUUAAGGGAUCAAACUUCUACAUGGGCAAAGUCAGAACUUUGUUGGGCUUCCUUAGCCUUAGUUUGUAAUUCAGUCUUUUUAAAACUUCACGUAGCACAUGGAGAGCAUUGUAAUCAAAUUUCUAUACUUAGGGCUUGUGACGGUCUUAAACCAGUGCUACUUUCUUGGCCACGGAGGCACCCACAGCCUCACAGUGCAGACAGACAGCUCAUUGGUCUCUUACAGGCUCUUCUGGCCUUUUCCUAAAUAUGCUCUCCAGUGCCAUAAAUUUCUACUUUGUCCAGAGAUUCCUUUUUCUUGGAAUAUGUACCCCACCCCUUCCUUUAAGCUCAGCUCAAUUCCAUCUCCUUCAAGAUGCCUUUCUAGAUUCUCCAAGGAAUAUGAAUUUCCUUCCUCCAUGAUUCCCUUUCACCAUAAGAUAGUGCUCUAGGGCAGUAAAUGCUCUGUGCAUUUGCAAAUUUUAGUAAAACCUCUGUGGCUGGUGGAAGAGUUUUGUUUUGUUUGUUUAAGCAGACAGGAUCACGUGGUGCCUUUUAUAUUAUCAUAUAGGACUGGUCCAUUUAUAUAGAGCAAGGGUCCCCCAAGAUUCCUUGUUCAUCAAAAUCUGAAUGACUAAACCAGGCACUGUGCUAAAGGGCCGGAGCACCACGUACCCUGUGGAACUAUCAAAUGUCACCCACUAGGACAGCUGCAAACCACAUAUAGAGUGUACCUACUACGUACCAGACUUUGGGCAGGUGAUCGACAUCAGCCUGAGCCUCUGGCCAGUCCUUCACUUUCUAGGACUUCUUCCCUUUCAGGGAAAUUUGGCCUCCCAGCAUCUGGGGAACAAGCUGCUUAUUUGCUAAUAUCUGUUUGCACAUCAGGGUUUUUUACUUUUAGGAACAGUUUGUCUCUCUGGCAGAUCUCCGUGUUCCCAUACCGUUGUUUAUGAUGUAACUAAGCAUCUAUCGUAUAGAAUUGAACUCAAUUCUCUUUUGAAACUGCAAGAGAUCUAACCCGCUCAUUUUCUUUCCAUUUAACAUACGAGAGGGGUGUGUAGGAGCAGUUUAUUAAGGGGGAGCUGUUUAUUGAAGGAUCCUGGGGCUAAUCCCAGCCCAUUAUUUCUCCAUUUCCUUACAGCUCACUGAGAAGGGUGGGAGAGAACAGGAACGGGGAGACUAUUCUUUCCUGAGUGAUUGUUUGGCCAAUCCACAGGGAUCCUGACUUUCCUACACCCAUCAGGGAAGUAGCAUCCAGAGGGUCAUUCCAGGGACAGGGCUGGCUGUGUCAGGCUGUAAUGAAUGGUUCAGACUGAGAGGUGGAACUUGGCCAACAACAGGGAAAGACAAUAAUCAUUGGAAAAUUUAGGCAUUGAGAAUAAGAUCCAUGUCUGUCUUAUGUCCCCUGGGUACCAACACAAUGACUUGGCUUAGUAACUGUCCCAUAAUGUUUAAAUUAUGUUCAGUGAAUGAGUGAAUGAAUGGAUGCCGUAUUCUUGCUUCCUUCUCCAAACACUCUUUAUAAAAUUACGGCAUCUCAUUCAUGUCUCCUCUAUAAAUCGGGAAUUUGGUGAGGCAUGCUGUUUAUUGCUUAGGAAUCAUUUUACUUAAUCACAAAGGUCCCAGGGGUUCAGGCGGAAAAAAAAAAAAAAAAAAAAAAAAAACAGGUUUGGGAGAAAGAGUAGGAUAGGAUCUUCCUAGAGACUUUUCUUUCUUUUCUUUAAUGGGCGCACCCAUGGAAGAUGGAAAUUCCCAGACCAGGUAUUGAAGCCCAGCCUCAGCUGUGGCCAGAUCCUUUAACCCACUGCACCAGGCUGGGGAAUGAACCUGUACCUCGACAGUGACCCAAGCUGCUGCAGUGGGAUUCUUAAUCCAAGGUGUCACAGCACAGUGAGGCUAGAGCCCCACUUCAACUCCUAUAGAGUUGAAAGCUCUAUAGGAGUUUCUGUCAUGGCUCAGUGGUAACAAACUCUACUAGUAUCCACGAGGACGCUGGGUUUGAUAAGUGGGUUAAGGCUCUGGUGUUGCCGUGAGCUGUGGCGUAGGUCACAGACACGGUUCAGACCUGCUGUUGCUAUGGCUGUGGUGUAGGCUGGCAGCUACAGCUCCAAUUCGACCUCCAUCCUGGGAACUUUCAUAUGCUGCAGGUUUGGCCCCCAAAAAGACCAAAAAAAAAAAAAAAAAA